UUGAAAAGAAUAAAUCUACUCAGCCCCCGGUUCUCUAACCGCAUGCCACACUCCUGACGUGGAGAACCCGGUUAGUCGUCACAUCACGAUUGAGUCAUUCAUCCCGAGCUACUGCUUCAUUCUCCCUCUUCUCCCUCAGACCUAUUCUCUCCCUCAAACUCGACGCCAAUCUUCAUUCUCCCCCUCAGACCUCUCGACUCUCCCUCCUCCCUCUUGAACCUCUCACUCAAAGCUUCUGAUAUGACUAUAAGCCUUAGACCUAUCUCUCUGACGUCUUCUUUCUCACCCCGACGCCCUCACCCCCUUCAAUCCCGAACCCUAGAAAAAUAAACGUGGAAUUGAAUGCCGUUGAAAAUUAUGUACGAGGUUCUUGGAUGGUCACAGAUAGAGAGAGAAAUGGCUUCGUGGAAUUCGAUUCCGAAGUGAUGUACCAGGUUCUAGGAUGGACCGCUUGCCUAUCAUGGACUACGGCUGCCUAUCCUCAAGUCAUCUCCAAUUUCCAUCGGAAGAGAUGAUGCUGGAUGAGUUAGAAGUAGGGGGCAAAGUGUAUCCGGUGAUUGAACAGUCUAAACAACUACCCCAACUUCAUGCUACUUCUGCAAAUCUUGAAGUUACAACUGCGGGUUGUUAAAUGGAAAAAUGAGGAGUGACCGGAAGGAAGAAGCAUUGAGCGUGACACAAACUUGAGAUUUUAUGGACUGCAAAAGAUCCGUUGUUUUGUAUCCCUUCAUGUUUUUUAAACUCCAAACAGAUUUUAUCACUCUGUGUUUAAUGCAAUUAUGGUGCAUGUUGUAAUUAGAUGGAUUAUUCAUCUAUGUUAAUAAAAUGAUAAAGUCCUCAUGUGAUAAAACCCACAA